GAGUGGGCCAGACGGCCGCGUAUGCAUCGCAUGCGAGGAAAGUCCGGGCUCCACAGGGCAAGAUGCCAGCUAACGGCUGGGCGGGGCAACCCGACGGAAAGUGCCACAGAAAAGAAGACUCCCCCGUCUCAACGGGAGAAAAGCUGAAACGGUGCGGUAAGAGCGCACCAGCAUGUCGGCAACGACAUGGCUUGGCAAACCCCAUCUGGAGCAAGCGCAAAUAGGGAUACCAUGCGGUGGCCCGCCGCGUAUCCGGGUUGCGUGCUAGAGGCGGCAGGUGACUGUCGUUCGAGAUAAAUGGCCGUCCUUCGACAGAACCCGGCUUAUCGGUCCGCUCGC
rnacentral:RNase_P_RNA from 1 species